rnacentral:tRNA from 1 species
CUGGUUAGCUCAGUUGGUAGGGUGCUCCAUUGCAAAUCAAGAGGUCCCUGGUUCAAUACCAGGACCAG